AUGCAACUAUCAUCAUGGCUAGCUAUGGCUACCCAUGCCAUGCCACGGCUCGUUGCUGAUCUGCUGCUGCGGCGGCUGCGGCUGCGGCUGUCCUUGUUGCUGUGGCUCGUAGCAGGGAGCCAUGUUGGUGUUGUUGCCGGCCGUGUUCACGGCGGCGCCCAUGCACGACGAGUCAAAGCCGGCGAGGCCGAGGAUGUCGCGGUGCGAGAAGGCGCGCAGCCCCAGGAAGUCCCUGGUCAUGCCGUCGUUGGCCCCUCCCGAGGCGCCGCCUUCCUCGCCGCUCCGGCCCUGGGAGGCGGUCCUGGCGAGGCUCAUCAUCUGCUGGUUGCUGAGGCACGAGAGGCCGAGCCCGAACGUGGCGCUGCCGGUCGCGCUGGUCGCCGAGCCGGCCAUCUGGGUGUAGUGCACUCCCGCCCCGCCAGCGCCGGCCCCGCCGAUGGUGGCGCCCAUCUGCGCCGCCUUCUGUAG
rnacentral:rRNA from 1 species